AUUGAACGCUGGCGGCAGGCCUAACACAUGCAAGUCGAGCGGGGUUUUCGGACCUAGCGGCGGACGGGUGAGUAAUGCGUAGGAAGCUGCCCGAUAGAGGGGGAUACCAGUUGGAAACGACUGUUAAUACCGCAUAAUGUCUACGGACCAAAGUGUGGGACCUUCGGGCCACAUGCUAUCGGAUGCGCCUACGUGGGAUUAGCUAGUUGGUGAGGUAAUGGCUCACCAAGGCGACGAUCUCUAGCUGGUUUGAGAGGAUGAUCAGCCACACUGGAAAUGAGACACGGUCCAGACUCCUACGGGAGGCAGCAGUGGGGAAUAGUGGACAAGGGGCGCAAGCCUGAUCCAGCCAUGCCGCGUGUGUGAAGAAGGCCGUCGGGUUGUAAAGCACUUUCAGCGGGGAGGAAGGGGUGUGUGUUAAUAGUACACACCUUUGACGUUACUCGCAGAAGAAGCACCGGCUAACUCUGUGCCAGCAGCCGCCGUAAGAC
rnacentral:rRNA from 1 species